rnacentral:lncRNA from 1 species
AAGAUUCAAAUUUGUAGAGAGAUAAAGAGGGAGAAAAUAUAUUAUUUUCUUGUCGUCCAAAAUUCAAGAAUUAGUUUCUAAAUUAAUUAAAAAAAGGUGCCCACAUGCCGGUGUAGCAUUUUCGUUGGAGAAUACCAUAAAAGGCUUGAAAGUUUGAAGCACCAAGAUUCUUGCAAUUAAACGAGAGGAAGUUUGCGGAUCAGAGUCAAUUCAAGGUUGAUCAUUGAACUUAGGUGAAAUAUUUGAAUCCUUUAAUUUUGUUAUAACGUACACGUGAACAUCUAGACGAAUUUGUUUAUUGAAUUAAAGAAAAUUUUAAUUUCUAAUUAAUUCCUUUUUCGCAUUCCAACAAUAUGUAAAUAUCAUCAGACUUCCUUGCCAUAGAAAUAUGGACAAAUUGUGCAGGAGCAUAUAUAUUUUGCUUAGAAAUUUCAUAGAGUUGAUUCUUUUCAUAUUGUUCAUUUGUGGUCUUUUCCACUUAUCCUACAUCACUUGUGGGUAUUUUGGCAUCCAUCAGUUAUUAAUUUGUCACAAGAAUUUAAUUCCCUUAUAAAAAUCGUGUACUUAUUUAAUCAAUAACCUCAUCGUGUAUCUAACUUUCUGAAUACAAAGAUAUUCUUAGGGGACAAAACCUUAGAAUCUGUUAUAUAUUAUACCCUCCCUCAUUUGGUAUAUAUGUUCUUACGGUGCCAUAUUUGUUUAACAAAAACAUUGCUAUUUUACCUUAUUUUCCCUUCUUCUACAAAUUCCCUUCAUGAAAUUAACAGACCAGAGCUAAUUACAGUACAGAGAAAGAAAGCAGCAAAACGCAGAAGUAAAUAACUACAAGUAGGUGCUAAAGUCGUGAUUCUGUCUUUCUCAUAUUCAUGAAAGUAUUUAAAACCAAAAACAUGAAGAGGCGAAGUUACCAUGCUUCCAAAGAUGCUCAGCUGCAUAGCUCGUGCUGACAAAUUGUUUCCUUGUUGAUCAGUCUCUUCUACAGCAUGGGUUUGUUGGCUAGACUUGUAAAAAUGUUCAAGCCAACUCAGACCCACACGCUCUCUGGCAAGAGGUCCAGAUGGGUGAUCAGUGUUGGAAUAAUUCCAUAUGUAAGCUUCACAUUUGAUUGCAAAUUUUACGAGUUAGAUGUGAGACUCAUAAUGAUAAUUGUGUUUGGACCUAAUUUAUUAAGUGGUCAAUUGGGUCUUUUACACAUUACGGAUUGUAAUUAAUAUGAUAUGGUAAUUUUAAGUAUGU